rnacentral:rRNA from 1 species
AUUGAACGCUGGCGGCAUGCCUUACACAUGCAAGUCGAACGGCAGCACGGGUGCUUGCACCUGGUGGCGAGUGGCGCACGGGUGAGUAAUACAUCGGAACAUGUCCUAUAGUGGGGGAUAGCCCGGCGAAAGCCGGAUUAAUACCGCAUACGAUCUACGGAUGAAAGCGGGGUACCUUCGGGCCUCGCGCUAUGGGGUUGGCCGAUGGCUGAUUAGCUAGUUGGUGGGGUAAAGGCCUACCAAGGCGACGAUCAGUAGAUGGUCUGAGAGGACGACCAGCCACACUGGGACUGAGACACGGCCCAGACUCCUACGGGAGGCAGCAGUGGGGAAUUUUGGACAAUGGGCGAAAGCCUGAUCCAGCAAUGCCGCGUGUGUGAAGAAGGCCUUCGGGUUGUAAAGCACUUUUGUCCGGAAAGAAAUCCUUGGCUCUAAUACAGUCGGGGGAUGACGGUACCGGAAGAAUAAGCACCGGCUAACUACGUG